rnacentral:rRNA from 1 species
GUGAGUAACACGUAGGUAAUCUGCCGUGAAGCGGGGGAUAACCCAUGGAAACAUGGACUAAUACCGCAUAUACUCUUGACACAUAAGUGUAGUAGAGGAAAGGAGUAAUCCGCUUUACGAUGAGCCUGCGGCCUAUUAGCCUGUUGGUGAGAUAAAAGCCCACCAAAGCUACGAUAGGUAGCCGACCUGAGAGGGUGACCGGCCACAUUGGGACUGAGAUACGGCCCAGACUCCUACGGGAGGCAGCAGCUGAGAAUCUUCCACAAUGGACGAAAGUCUGAUGGAGCGACAUCGCGUGAGGGAUGAAGGCCUUCGGGUUGUAAACCUUGGAAAUUAUCGAAGAAUGAGUGACAGUAGAUAAUGUAAGCCUCGGCUAACUACGUGCCAGCAGCCGCGGUAAUACGUAGGAGGCAAACGUUGCUCGGAUUUACUGGGCGUAAAGGGUGAGUAGGCGGAACUAUAAGUCUAAGGUGAAAUAUCGAAGCUCAACUUCGGAAACGCCUCGGAUACUGUGGUU